CUUUCCCUCUUUCUUCCUGCCUUACACAUGCAAGUCGAACGGCAGCAUGAUCUAGCUUGCUCGAUUGAUGGCGAGUGGCGAACGGGUGAGUAAUACAUCGGAACGUGCCCUGUAGUGGGGGAUAACUAGUCGAAAGAUUAGCUAAUACCGCAUACGACCUGAGGGUGAAAGUGGGGGACCGCAAGGCCUCAUGCUCUAGGAGCGGCCGAUGUCUGAUUAGCUAGUUGGUGAGGUAAAGGCUCACCAAGGCGACGAUCAGUAGCUGGUCUGAGAGGACGAUCAGCCACACUGGGACUGAGACACGGCCCAGACUCCUACGGGAGGCAGCAGUGGGGAAUUUUGGACAAUGGGCGAAAGCCUGAUCCAGCAAUGCCGCGUGUGUGAAGAAGGCCUUCGGGUUGUAAAGCACUUUUGUCCGGAAAGAAAUGGCUCUGGUUAAUACCUGGGGUCGAUGACGGUACCGGAAGAAUAAGGACCGGCUAACUACGUG
rnacentral:rRNA from 1 species